UGCCAGAGUGCCGUGUGGAGAGACAAAGGAGGUGAUCCAUCUUUUAUUCCCCUAUUUUGUUUAAAACUAGCAUCUCGAAGGGGCUUUUUGGAUGGACAUUCCAACUGCAUGUCUUUGCUGCAAGUUAGAGGUUAAGACCUUGGAACAUACAUUUUUCUUGUGCCCCGGAGAGCGGCGGAUAUGGUGGCUAGCUAUUCCCUCCAUUCUAGGUGCUUCUA
rnacentral:lncRNA from 1 species